UGACCUCAGCUCAGUCGUGAGCACCCGCUGAAUUUAAGCAUAUAACUAAGCGGAGGAAAAGAAACUAACGAGGAUUCCUCUAGUAACGGCGAGUGAAUGGGGAAAAGCCCAGCGCUGAAUCCAUUGGCCACUGGUCGCUUGGAAUUGUAGCGUAUAGGUGCGGUUGUCCGUUUGUUUCGCGCACCCAAAGUCCCCUUGAGUGGGGCUAUAGUCCAAAGAAGGUGCUAGACCUGUACGGGUGGCGAGACGAUCGGUUGAUUGCUCCUUGGAGUCGGGUUGCCUGGGAUCGCAGCCCAAAGUUGGUGGUAGACCUCAUCUAAGGCUAAAUAUGGCCACGAAACCGAUAGCAAACAAGUACCGUGAGGGAAAGUUGCAAAGAACUUUGAAGAGAGAGUUCAAGAGGGCGUGAAACCGCUGAGAUUGAAACGGAUAGAGUUGACUUAACUCGGCUGCAUUCAUCCGGUCGGUCUAGCGGUCCAAUGGUUUUGACUUCCUCGAAGAGGGCGAAGCCGUCGGCAACUGUUGGGCAUUUGAUCGGUGUAUUUGCGGCUGGUAUGCGCUGAGAGCUUUGCGAUCGCGUGUUGACAAACGUGCAGUGGACCAUUCCUUCCGGGCGUGGAAACCUUCGCGCUUUGAGACAUGUCGGUUGUAAGGUUUUGAAGAUGGCGUCUCCGCUAUGGUGCGUCAGCUUUUUCGAGCUGUUGUGGCUGCUGGAUGGUCGCAUGCGACUAUCUGCAGUCAUCGAUGGUGCGAGAUGAGUGUGGACGCGGCGAGGCGUUGAUCUCGGUGUGAACGUCGACCACCUAUCCGACCCGUCUUGAAACACGGACCAAGGAGUCUAGCAUAUGCGCAAGUCAUUGGGUGAUAAACCUAAAGGCGUAAUGAAAGUAAAAGUCGCCCAGAUGCGACCGAUAUGGGAUCCAUGCGGUUUUUGAAGCCGUACGGCGCACCAUAGCCCCGUCCCCGUUGCUUGCAAUAGGGCGGAGGUAGAGCGCAUACGCUGGUACCCGAAAGAUGGUGAACUAUGCCUGAGCAGGAUGAAGCCAGAGGAAACUCUGGUGGAAGUCCGAAGCGGUUCUGACGUGCAAAUCGAUCGUCUGACUUGGGUAUAGGGGCGAAAGACUAAUCGAACCAUCUAGUAGCUGGUUCCCUCUGAAGUUUCCCCCAGGAUAGCUGGAGUUCGUGUUGUGCAGUUAUAUUCGGUAAAGCGAAUGAUUAGAGGAAUUGGGGACGAAACGACCUCAACCUAUUCUCAAACUUUCAAUGGGUAUGAAGUCCCGCUUGCUUGACGUUGCUGAAGCGUGGACAUUGAAUGUGAGCUCCAAGUGGGCCAUUUUUGGUAAGCAGAACUGGCGCUGUGGGAUGAACCAAACGUCGGGUUAAAGUGCCAAACUUCCCGCUCAUGAGACCCCAUGAAAGGCGUUGGUUGAUAUAGACAGCAGGACGGUGGCCAUGGAAGUCGGAAUCCGCUAAGGAGUGUGUAACAACUCACCUGCCGAAUCAACUAGCCCUGAAAAUGGAUGGCGCUUGAGCGUGAGACUUAUACCCGACCGUUGCUUAGCUUGUGCGUUUUUCGUAUGAGAGAUUCGCCUGGCCGCAACGAGUAAGAGGGUCUCAGUGGUUUGCGUUGAAGGCUUUGAGCGUAGGCCCGGCUGGAGCUUCCACUGGUGCAGAUCUUGGUGGUAGUAGCAAAUAUUCAAGUGAGAUCCUUGAAGACUGAAGUGGAGAAGGGUUCCACGUGAACAGCAGUUGAAUGUGGGUCAGUCGGCCCUAAGAAACUGGCUAAUGCCAUGUGUUAUCGAGAGGCGGAGUUCAAAUCCAUCUCGUCUAUCGAAAGGGAAACGGGUUAAUAUUCCCGUACCUGGACACGGAGAUAAGCGCUCAUUGCGAGCGUUUAGCGCGGCAACGCAAACGAACUCGGUAACGCUGAAUAGAGCCCGAGCUAGAGUUCUCUUUUCUAGUUAAGGAACGAAUUCCCUGGAAUCGGUUCAGCCGGCGAUAGGGAUGUUGUUUCCGUAAAGCGCCACGGUUCCUGUAGUGUCUCGUGCGCUCCAUUCGGCCCUUGAAAAACCGAGGGAGGCUAUUUGAAUUUCGUG
rnacentral:ncRNA from 1 species